rnacentral:rRNA from 1 species
CCCCGGUAAACGGCGGCCGUAACUAUAACGGUCCUAAGGUAGCGAAAUUCCUUGUCGGGUAAGUUCCGACCUGCACGAAUGGCGUAACGACUGGGCCGGUGUCUCGGGGGGAAGCUCGGUGAAGUUGUAGUGGUGGUGAAGAUGCCACCUACCCGUGGCAGGACCGAAAGACCCCGUGGAGCUUUACUGCAGCCUGGCGUUGGGUUCUGACACUUCAUGUGUAGGAUAGGUGGGAGCCUGUGAAGCCUCCUCGCCAGGGGAGGUGGAGGCGCCGGUGAAAUACCACCCUUGAAGUGUUGGGAUCCUAACCCGCCACUCUGGAUCGAGUGGGGGGACAGCGCUUGGUGGGCAGUUUCACUGGGGCGGUGACCUCCUGAAGGGUAACGGAGGUGCCCAAAGGUCCCCUCAGCACGGACGGUACCGUGCGCGGAGUGCAAGGGCAUAAGGGGGCUUGACUGUGAGGCCGACAGGCCGAGCAGGUGCGAAAGCAGGGCCUAGUGAUCCGGUGGUCCCGUGUGGAAGGGCCAUCGCUCAGCGGAUAAAAGUUACCCCGGGGAUAACAGGCUAGUCGGGCCCGAGAGUUCACAUCGACGGCCCGGUUCGGCACCUCGAUGUCGGCUCACCCCAUCCUGGGGCUGGACAAGGUCCCAAGGGUUGGUCUGUUCGCCCAUUAAAGGGGUACGUGAGCUGGGUUCAGACCGUCGUGAGACAGGUCGGUCCCUAUCCGCCACGGGCGUAGGGUACUUGAGGGGGGCUGCCCCCAGUACGAGAGGACCGGGGUGGGGAGACCUCUGGUGUACCAGUUGUCCCGCCAGGGGCAGCGCUGGGUAGCCAUGUCUCCAGGCGAUAACCGCUGAAAGCAUCUAAGCGGGAAGCGCGCCCCAAGAUUAGGUACCCCGUCAACCGAUAACCUGGCGCAAGCUGGGUUAUUCGGUUGGCUAAGGCCCCCGGAAGACUACCGGGUUGAUAGGCCGCAGGUGUAAGUCCCGUAAGGGAUUGAGCCGAGCGGUACUAAUAGGCCGAGAGUCUUAGCCACCUACCUC